rnacentral:rRNA from 1 species
AUUGAACGCUGGCGGCAUGCUUUACACAUGCAAGUCGAACGGUAACAGCACUUCGGUGGCUGACGAGUGGCGAACGGGUGAGUAAUACAUCGGAACGUGCCUAGUAGUGGGGGAUAACUACUCGAAAGAGUAGCUAAUACCGCAUGAGAUCUAAGGAUUAAAGCAGGGGACCUUCGGGCCUUGCGCUACUAGAGCGGCUGAUGGCAGAUUAGGUAGUUGGUGGGAUAAAAGCUUACCAAGCCUACGAUCUGUAGCUGGUCUGAGAGGACGACCAGCCACACUGGGACUGAGACACGGCCCAGACUCCUACGGGAGGCAGCAGUGGGGAAUUUUGGACAAUGGGCGCAAGCCUGAUCCAGCAAUGCCGCGUGCAGGAUGAAGGCCUUCGGGUUGUAAACUGCUUUUGUACGGAACGAAAAGCCCUCUUCUAAUACAGGAGGGUCAUGACGGUACCGUAAGAAUAAGCACCGGCUAACUACGUG